GCAGAAUUUUGUUCUGUCACUCAAAGUGGACCCGCCCCGCCCCCUCAUUCCUUGUGUUGUGUAAAAAGUUGAUUGUCAACAUAUUCGAAUUUUGUUAAUUAUUUGUUAAUACAAUGGAUGUUAAGUUAUUAAUUUAAUAAAAAUAUAUCAUAGAGUCAUUUCAAUAUUUCAGAUAAAUAUGAGUUGUUUAUCAGCCUAAUUCGUGGUUAUCCACACAUAUUUAUACGAUAGGUAAAUCCAAUAAACAUUUAAAGACCAGGAAAUGAAACAAAAUAGUUGGAAAUCCCACGGCAUGCGGCACCAAAGAGCAUACUUUCGUUUAUUUCCUAAUCCAUGUAACACACAAAACAGAUAAAUAUUAUAAUAAAUAAUAGUAUAAGUAUAAAUAAAUAAACACAAAGUUUGUUUACUGUUCGUUUAAUUUAUAGGCUAUGUUGUUGAAUAAUAAGUCAUUGUUUACUCUUUCUACUCAUGCGCAAAAAUUCCGCUACGUCGAUCUAUAAAUUGACAUAUUUUCUUCCGUCUCCAGUCCGUUUCUUACGUCUACGUUGCGUCUACGUCUACGCUACGUCAAACUAUAAAUCCAACUUAAGUGUAAGAAAUUCUAUGGACAUUUGAGUGUAAAAUGACAGCGGAUGUGACAGCGGCUCAUGACAGCGGACAGUAUUAAACGAAAAUUAUCGGUGUGCCAAUCAAGCAAAGGAACAAGGAACUUCCGAAUAUGGCCUAACUGGGGGCACAUAACAUAACCUAAUCCUAAUAUUUACAUUUGUAAAGAAUAUCCUGUUUGUUUUUAUUGUCGAUUGUGCAGCGAAAUUGUGAUAGCAAAUCAAAUAUAAAGUAGUUUAUCGCCUACAGAACUGAAUUAGUCCAUAGCAUAGCAGUUAUCAGUUUUUCUUUCUUGGGAAGCUUAUACAUGUAACUUUUAUUGUUGUAAAUUGUGGGAGUAGGGCAGACAGGGAAAAGUCUUAUUUUGUACUGUUCCCAAGGCUCCCCAUGCAAUACAUUUAAAUGAAUUAUCCAAACAAAGCCGGGGACAAUGGAUAAAAGCCACAAGAAGAACAGAUAUAAGGGAACUAAAAUUAAAAUAUGAAAAGUAAACAUUUUAUAAGUGGAACAACCACCAGAUAUUUAAAAGGUAUAAAAAGAAGAAACUGCUGGAAUUUCAAAACAAAUGUGUUUGACUAGUAAAGAUUUGGAUAAAUAACAGGAGUUACUUUGGGCUAUAGCUACGUGCAGAUUUAUUUCCUUGUGGCUUCCUAUGUUAAUUCUUAUUAAUUAUACACUUAAAUAUGUUUUUAGUCUCAGGAAGAUUUUAUAUUUGAUUAUUUUUGAAUAAACAUUAUUAUUAUUAUUACCUUAAUUUCCAUUAAAUAAAUUUACUGUAAUCAAUAAAGUAAUCGUUUAAUUGUUAAUAAAUUAUCAAGUAUGAUUCCCAAA